rnacentral:rRNA from 1 species
AUUGAACGCUGGCGGCAUGCCUUACACAUGCAAGUCGAACGGUAACGGGCCUUCGGGUGCCGACGAGUGGCGAACGGGUGAGUAAUGUAUCGGAACGUACCUUUCAGUGGGGGAUAACGUAGCGAAAGUUACGCUAAUACCGCAUAUUCUGUGAGCAGGAAAGCAGGGGAUCGCAAGACCUUGCGCUGAUUGAGCGGCCGAUAUCAGAUUAGCUAGUUGGUGAGGUAAAGGCUCACCAAGGCGACGAUCUGUAGCGGGUCUGAGAGGAUGAUCCGCACACUGGAACUGAGACACGGUCCAGACUCCUACGGAGGCAGCAGUGGGAAUUUUGGACAAUGGGGGCAACCUGAUCAGCCAUGCCGCGUGAGUGAAGAAGGCC